GAAGAUGGAAGAAGAUUGCUGGUUUAUGAAUAUAUUUGCAAUGGAUCUUUAGAUUCACAUCUUUUUGGACAUUCUCAAGAUCCAUUAAACUGGUCUGCACGUCAAAAAAUUGCUGUUGGAGCAGCUAGAGGACUGAGAUACCUUCAUGAAGAAUGUAGAGUGGGUUGUAUUGUCCAUCGUGAUAUGAGGCCUAACAAUAUCCUCAUAACCCAUGAUUUUGAACCAAUGGUUGGAGAUUUUGGACUGGCAAGGUGGCAGCCAAAUGGAGACGUGGGAGUUGAAACAAGAAUAAUUGGGACAUUUGGGUAUUUGGCUCCAGAAUAUGCUCAAAGUGGCCAGAUCACAGAAAAAGCUGAUGUCUAUUCUUUUGGGGUGGUAUUGGUGGAGCUAGUUACAGGACGGAAAGCUAUUGAUAUAAAACGACCUAAAGGCCAGCAGUGCCUAACUGAAUGGGCCCGUCCACUCCUGGAAAAGCAUACCAUUCAGGAACUGAUUGACCCACACUUAAUGAACUGCUAUUCGAAACAAGAAGUGCAUAACAUGCUCCAAUGUGCCUCAUCGUGCAUUCGCCGGGAUCCUCGUGCAAGGCCUCGAAUGUCUCAGGUGCUUAGGAUGUUGGAAGGUGACAUGGUCAUGAAUUCAAGCAAUCACGUUUGAACUUUUGGAAGUCAUUCUGAAAGCAUUAGUGGAAGAAGCAGGCCGUGCAAGGACACCAGCAGCAAAGAGGCCUUGCAGCGGUCCAGUUUAGAAAGAGGAGUUUUUGUUUGGGGCAUUUCAAAAUUAAGUAUUCACUACCACGUCAACGUAAUUUUGAAAUGCCCCAAACAAAAAC
rnacentral:misc_RNA from 1 species